UACGGGGGGGGCAAGCGUUGUUCGGAAUUAUUGGGCGUAAAGAGCUCGUAGGCGGCUUGUCGCGUCGUCCGUGAAAACUUGGGGCUCAACCCCAAGCUUGCGGUCGAUACGGGCAGGCUAGAGUUCGGUAGGGGAGACUGGAAUUCCUGGUGUAGCGGUGAAAUGCGCAGAUAUCAGGAGGAACACCGGUGGCGAAGGCGGCAUCCUGGACCGGCACUGACGCUGAUGAGCGAAAGCCAGGGGAGCAAACGGG
rnacentral:rRNA from 1 species